rnacentral:rRNA from 1 species
CAAUAGCGUAUAUUUAAGUUGUUGCAGUUAAAAAGCUCGUAGUUGGAUUUCGGGUGGGACGCAGCGGUCUCGCAUUGCGUUUGUACUGCUGCAGCCCUCCUUCUUGCCGGGGGCGGCCUCUCGGACUUCACUGUCUGGGGGUCAGAAUCGGCGAUGUUACUUUGAGUAAAUUAGAGUGUUCAAAGCAAGCUUACGCUCUAAAUAUAAUAGCAUGGGAUAACACGACAGGACUCUGGCCUAUCGUGUUGGUCUAUAGGACCAGAGUAAUGAUUAAGAGGGACAGUCGGGGGCAUUCGUAUUCCGUUGUCAGAGGUGAAAUUCUUGGAUUUACGGAAGACGAACAUCUGCGAAAGCAUUUGCCAAGGAUGUUUUCAUUGA